rnacentral:rRNA from 1 species
UACGUAGGAGACGAGCGUUGUCCGGAGUUACUGGGCGUAAAGGGUGCGCAGGCGGCCUUGCGCGUCGCGAGUGAAAUCUCCCGGCUCAACUGGGAGGGUGGUCACGAGACGGCAGGGCUUGAGGCUCGGUGAGGGGCGUGGAAUUCCGGGUGGGCGGUGAAAUGCGUAGAGAUCCGGAGGAACACCGACGGCGUAGGCAGCGCCCUAGACGAGACCUGACGCUCAGGCACGAAAGCGCGGGGAGCGAACAGG